rnacentral:misc_RNA from 1 species
GAUGAAGAACGUAGUGAAAUGCGAUAAGUAAUGUGAAUUGCAGAAUUCAGUGAAUCAUCGAAUCUUUGAACGCACAUUGCGCCCGCCAGUAUUCUGGCGGGCAUGCCUGUUCGAGCGUCAUUACAACCCUCAGGCCCCCGGGCCUGGCGUUGGGGAUCGGCGGAGCCCCCCGUGGGCACACGCCGUCCCCCAAAUGCAGUGGCGGUCCCGCCGCCGCUUCCAUCGCGUAGUAGCUAACACCUCGCGACUGGAGAGCGGCGCGGCCACGCCGUAAAACACCCAACUCUUCUGAAGUUGACCUCGAAUCAGGUAGGAAUACCCGCUGAACUUAAGCAUAUCAAUAAGCGGAGGA